GGCCGACUAGCUCAGUUGGUUAGAGCGUCGUGCUAAUAUAUUCAGAUAUAUUACGCGAAGGUCUUGGGUUCGAUCCCCACGUUGGCCA